rnacentral:rRNA from 1 species
UUAUGGCUCAGGAUGAACGCUAGCUACAGGCUUAACACAUGCAAGUCGAGGGGCAGCAUUGGAGUAGCAAUACUCAGAUGGCGACCGGCGCACGGGUGAGUAACACGUAUCCAACCUGCCGCUUACUCGGGGAUAGCCUUUCGAAAGAAAGAUUAAUACCCGAUGGUAUAAAGAGUUCGCAUGUUCUCUUUAUUAAAGAAUUUCGGUAAGCGAUGGGGAUGCGUUCCAUUAGAUAGUUGGCGGGGUAACGGCCCACCAAGUCUACGAUGGAUAGGGGUUCUGAGAGGAAGGUCCCCCACAUUGGAACUGAGACACGGUCCAAACUCCUACGGGAGGCAGCAGUGAGGAAUAUUGGUCAAUGGACGAGAGUCUGAACCAGCCAAAAGUAGCGUGAAGGAUGACUGCCCUAUGGGUUGUAAACUUCUUUUAUAAGGGAAUAAAGUGAGGGACGUGUCCCUUUUUGUAUGUACCUUAUGAAUAAGGAUCGGCUAACUCCGUGCCAGCCGCGGC